CCUACGGGAGGCUGCAGUGGGGGAUAUUGCACAAUGGGGGGAACCCUGAUGCAGCGACGCCGCGUGGGUGAAGAAGCGCCUCGGCGCGUAAAGCCCUGUCAGCAGGGAAGAAAAUGACGGUACCUGCAGAAGACUCCCCGGCUACCUACGUCCCAGCCGCCGCGGUAAUACGUAGGGGGCAAGCGUUAUCCGGAUUUACUGGGUGGAAGGGGGGCGCAGACGGCGAUGCAAGCCAGGAGUGAAAGCCCGGGGCCCAACCCCGGGCCUGCUCUUGGAACUGCAUGGCUGGAGUGUAGGAGGGGCAGGCGGAAUUCCUGGUGUAGCGGUGAAAUGCGUAGAUAUCAGGAGGAACACCGGUGGCGAAGGCGGCCUGCUGGACUGCAACUGACGUUGAGGCCCGAAAGCGUGGGGAGCAAACAGGAUUAGAUACCCGAGUAGUC
rnacentral:rRNA from 1 species